rnacentral:lncRNA from 10 species
GAAAAGUUAAACCAAAGUUUCAGCAGACACUGCAAGUCCUUGUCCUAAUAUUGAAACUUAAACUGGAGCAGGUGAUUCUGGGGCUACUACUGUUGAUGCUUCACUGCUGUUGAGACUUUUUGGAUUACAAUGGCACCGUUUCAGUCUAAUCAGCCAACUCUGGCCAUGAUAUUGUGGCCCUGAAACUUAACUAUGUCAUAUUUUCAGCUUUACGGACCACCUACAGAUGGACAAUUCUACAUCUUUUAUUGCAAAGAUCACCCUACAAUAGACUGCAAGCCAAGGCCACCAGGGAAACCACAUGAGAAGAGAAGUUGUUCAAUUGUCCUGGGCAAUAGACUACUGGAGAGAUUUGAAGCUAAACUGCCUUAGUUCAAGUCUUAGUUCUGUCACACAGUAACCAGUUGAGCACAGAGUAUUCAUUAUCCUGAGGCCGAGAAUUUCUGGAUGAAUGUGGUUAAAUCACUGGAACAAUAAAGCAAGACAGUUAAGAAAAGCACCUGGCACAAACUAUUCUACUUCUACUGUUCAUCGGUUGAAAUGGUCAUCAAAAUGUAAUAAGUUGAUCGAAGACUCUCAGAUAUUACUUUAGAAUAUAUUCCUUUUAUGAAAGCUGCAUCUGUAUUUGACUUGGUAAGAUAAUAAAUUCAAGAAAAGCCCAACUGGGACCUCUAACAUACUCUUCUACAAUAUAUGAAUUUUAUACUAAAUAAGACUAUAAUAUUCUCCUCUACAAGUGGAAACCACAUCCCCAUAGGAAAUCGAGAUGCUAAACUAUUAAUAGUUUACCCAGGUUUUCUCUGCCUACCAUGGAACCUUAAACUUCAUCACAGCCUAAGCACUGUAAAACAUUAUAAUUUAUGUUCAUAUAAAUGAAACUCUCUAGACAUUCUUCAUCUUGUCUACUACUUAAUGUUUCUGAUGUUUUUAAGACAGAGAAGUUCUCUGCAUUCAACCUGAGAAAAGACAAUGUCAAAAUAAAUUUAUAUAUCAAAUAAAUACUGUCAGAAGCAUUGCUAUAAGUCUGGUAAUGUUUUAAAAUGUUGUGCCAGUAA